rnacentral:rRNA from 1 species
GUAGGGUGGCAAGCGUUGUCCGGAAUUAUUGGGCGUAAAGCGCGCGCAGGCGGUCCUUUAAGUCUGGGUGUGAAAGCCCACGGCUCAACCGUGGAGGGUCAUUGGAAACUGGGGGACUUGAGUACAGAAGAGGAAAGCGGAAUUCCAAGUGUAGCGGUGAAAUGCGUAGAGAUUUGGAGGAACACCAGUGGCGAAGGCGGCUUUCUGGUCUGUAACUGACGCUGAGGCGCGAAAGCGUGGGAGCAAACAGGAUUAGAUACCCUGGUAGUCCACGCCGUAAACGAUGAGUGCUAAGUGUUAGGGGGUUUCCGCCCCUUAGUGCUGCAGCUAACGCAUUAAGCACUCCGCCUGGGGAGUACGGCCGCAAGGCUG